AACGAACGCUGGCGGCAGGCUUAACACAUGCAAGUCGAGCGCCUCGCAAGAGGAGCGGCAGACGGGUGAGUAACGCGUGGGAAUCUACCGUGCCCUAAGGAAUAGCUCCGGGAAACUGGAAUUAAUACCUUAUACGCCCCCCUUUGGAGACAUUGGGGGGAAAGAUUUAUCGGGGUAUGAUGAGCCCGCGUUGGAUUAGC
rnacentral:rRNA from 1 species